GCUAUGGAAACCGACAUACCACAGUGCUGACCCUGGAGAGGUUUAGCACGCUCCCCCAGCAGGGAUGCCAGCAGCUGGACUGCAGCUGUUACAGCCCACCCUCAAGUACUUGGUCACAGGUGACUGGAGGGCUGCUCUGGAUCCUCUCACCCUCUUGAGCUAUUAGGAAGUUACUCUCUUUACAAAGGCUUUGUUCCGCCAACAUGAGACUCCUGGUACAACUCAAGAAUGAGCCGACAUCCUUACACUCUGUAACUGUAACCGAAGACCGGGCUCUGCAAUGGUCCAGCAGCUUCUUUCGCACUUAUCACCUUUUUAAAAGGCAAUGUGGUAUCUCAGAUGCAGAGACUGAAGCUCAGGAAGGGUAAGCCACCUGCCCAACGUCACGCAGCUGUGUGACCCCGAGGCCUCCUCCCGUUGCUUCCCUUGCUGCCCUCCCUGCUCUCAGACUGGAACCCUGAUGCUUUUGGCAGAGGAGAGAGCUGCUGGAGAGGUGGCCCCUCACGGAAUCUCCAGCACCCCAUCACGGCCUUGGAGGCACGGCAAUCCGAGCGAGAUCUGGGAGACGGAAAACUAUUGGUGACUUUAUGCACUUGCAGAUUUAAACACACGUUUUAUUCUUCGUAAAAAGCUGCCUGGCAGUUGCCCGGGUGCUACAUUUUUGCAGAUGUCAGAUGCGUCCACCUCUUCACUCCAGUUGCCUAAUAGCCCAAGUGGUUGCUGCCUCCGUUUGUUUGUCUCCUUGGGGUGUGCUCUCUUCAGCCCCGGCAGCCCCAGGAAGCCUGGUGUUACAUAAGCACCUCAUCAGAAUAAACAUCCAGCUAGACGCCUCUUCCUUCAGUCCUCCCGCCCUGGAGGAGCGCCUACCUCUAGCCCCGCGUUCUCCCAGAGUGCAGAGAGAGAUUCCUGUUCCUGACAGCUGCCCCUUAUUACCAG